UCCAAGCUGUGUUCACACGGCGAGACCGCGGACGGCUCAUUAAAUCAGUCGUGGUCCAAAUGGGCCAGUGCAAAUCCUACUUGGAUAACUGUGGUAAUUCCAGAGCUAAUACAUGCAACUGAUAUCCCGAAGGCGGUGUCGGGGCUUGCUUGUCUUGCCCUGCCUGCUCUGACGGAUGCUUUUAUUAGACCAAGCCGCUGAGGACUUGAGGGUUCGCGCUCUCUUGUUUGACUCGUGUGAUGGUGACUCUGGAUAACCAAAUUCUGACAAGCGCACGUACUUCUCUUCUGAGCGAGACGGCGCUGCCACUUUCGAGUGUCUGCCUUAUCAGCUAUCAACCGUUCGUUAUGCGCGACCGAUGGCUUUGACGGGUAACGGGGAAUCAGGGUUCGAUUCCGGAGAGGCAGCCUGAGAGACGGCUACCACGUCCAAGGACGGCAGCAGGCACGCAAAUUACCCAAUCCCAGCAAAUGGGGGAGGUAGUGACGAAAUCUAACGAUGCGGGCGCCCUUUCUGGGGCCCCGCAAUCGGAAUGGGCACUUUCUAAACAACCUG
rnacentral:rRNA from 1 species